rnacentral:rRNA from 1 species
GGUUAAGUUAGAAAGGGCGCACGGUGGAUGCCUUGGCACUAGGAGCCGAAGAAGGACGGGACUAACACCGAUAUGCUUUGGGGAGCUGUACGUAAGCGUUGAUCCAGAGAUUUCCGAAUGGGGGAACCCACUAUCUUUAGUCGGAUAGUAUCCUUACGUGAAUACAUAGCGUGAGGAAGGCAGACCCAG